AAUGUGGCUUAAUGGUGUUAGUGUCCGCCUCAGAUGAGGGAGGUCAUGAGUUUGAUCCCCAGCUGAGUCA